rnacentral:rRNA from 1 species
AUGGGCUUGGGGGAGCCUCUUGGUUCUCCCAUGCCAGACUUCCCUGGGACCCCGGACGUCGAGGUCCUUGAUGGCCCUAACAAGCCCACUGCGAAGCCCUUCGACAAGCCAUUUGACCCAGUCCAUGAUAGGAAGAGGAAGAGAGGAGGCCUGAUGGAGGAGGAGAUCAAUAUCUUUUGCAGCAUGACUGAGGCGGUGAAGGAGGUGGCAACAGCCAUCAGGGAGUGCAAGCCCCUCGACGUCCACCCUGACCUGUAUGGCGCUGUCAUGACCCAGGGUGGCUUCAGCGACGAGGCUCUCAUGGAAGCUCUCAGCCACCUGCUUGGCAACAAGGCCCAGGGUGUUGGGUUCGUUGCCAUGGCCGACGCUCGGAGGGUGUUGUGUCUCGGGAGCUGGCUGGGCAAGCACUACUACUAG